rnacentral:rRNA from 1 species
AGAGUGAACGCUGGCGGCAUGCCUAACACAUGCAAGUCGAACGGUAACAGGCCCGCAAGGGUGCUGACGAGUGGCGGACGGGUGAGGAAUACAUCGGAAUUUGCCCAUGUCGUGGGGGAUAACGUAGGGAAACUUACGCUAAUACCGCAUACGACCUAACGGUGAAAGCGGGGGACUCGCAAGAG